GCUUGCCGUUAGGGGUGCCCGCGCAAGGUUGCGGCGGGCUGAGAGAGUCCCUCAACACCUGAUCCGGAUCGUGCCGGCGUAGGGAAACGCGUUCAUGAGUUC
rnacentral:ncRNA from 2 species